rfam:Dipodomys ordii contig_29475, whole genome shotgun sequence.
GGGAAGGUGGCUCAGUGGUAGAGUGUUUGCCUCGUAUGCAUGAGGCCCUGGGUUCGAUUCCUCAGCACUACCU